GUCUUCUUCUGCAAGACAGUAUGCAAGGGUGUACGUGUGUGUGUGUGUGUGUGUGUGAACAAAGACUUCUGAGCCCAUGACCUCUGGGGGUUCUUCAGAGACCUCUGCUUUUCUAUACAAGCAGGAGGUGAAAAGUUCCUGGCCCUGAUAUGGCUGGGAGAAAGUCACUUACUCUUUUUCUAUUGUUUGUUUCAUGUGAUCAAAAGGAAAAAUGAUAUUGUCUCUACUGCUCAGGAGUGCAUGGGAAUUAAUUAAAACCUAUUAAAACCUUUGAUUUCAUUCAUACAGUUCAAUUAAAAAUAUUAAUUGAAUAUCUACUUUAUGCCAACUUUGUUCUACAUGCUGGAGACACAGUAGUGAACAGACUAAAGUAAGCUCCUGAUCAAGCGGAACGUAUUUUCUAGUGGCAGGGCUAGGAAAUAAACACACAGAAGGGUCAAUAUGAUGUGAGUCCAAUGGCAACAGAUGAUAUGGGGGAAAUAAAUUUGAGUGUGGGAGACAGGGUGUGGUGGGAUUGGAAAUAUUUGCCAUUUAUGUGCAUGCAUGUGUGUUUGUGCAUGUGCACACAUGCAGUGGUCAGGGGGCAUCUCCAAGAAAGUGACACUCAGGUGUAGACUUGAAGGAAGUGAGGGAGUGAGCCAUGUGGAAAUGUAGAGGAAGAGUGCUCCAGGCAGAAGAAACAGCACAUGCAAAGGCCCUGAGGUGAAAGCACCGUUGGUAUUUCAAGGAAUAGCCAAGAAGCUAGUGUGGCUGCUGUGGAGUAAUGAAAAGGAGAGGGUGCGAGAGAAAUUCAGAGAGGUAACCAGAGCCAGAUUGUAUAGGACCUCGUAAGCUAUUGUAAAGAUUUUGGUGAGGUGGGCAUCAUUGGAGGGUUUUGAGGGGAGGAGGGGGCAGCCAGAUUUGCAUAUGAAAAGGGUUUUCCUGGCUGCUGAGUGGAGCCUGCUGCUGUAGGGGAUUGAUGGGGGAGGCAGGAAGCCCAGUUAGGAUGCAGUUUCAAUAACCAAGGCAAGUGGUGAUAGUUGAAGGGAUCAGGAUGGACAGGUGAAGGUGGCAGGUGAUGGGGUUUUGAAGGAAGAGCCAAUAAGCUUUACUCCUUUAGAUGCAAGGCAGGAGAGACAGGAUCAAGGAGGUCUCCAGGAUUUUCAACUGGAAGAACAGAGUUGCCGUCAACCGAGUCGGAGAGCCCUUCACAAGAAGCAGGCCUGUGGUCCGGCUGAUGCCAGGAGCCAAAGGAAACGUCACAAGAAAAGGAAAGCAAUAUAGGAUAUCAAAGAAAAUGAGCCAAAUCCUACCACCUCAAGAGAGCUGAUAUCUUUAGUUUCCCAUGAUUCUUUCCGUUUCGUAUUCAUAUCCACUCCUAGUUUCCCACCAGGAGUAGUUAACAUUAUUGAGUGGCUAGUAUAGGAGACAGGCAUAUGAUAAGCAUUUCUCAAGCAUUAUCUCCUUGAAUACUCACAACACCCAAGAAUAAAGAUGACAAAAGCUGAGCCAGGUAGGGUAACGCGCAGCUAGUGAGGGGCGGAGCUGGACAUUUCACCCAGGACUGCCUGACUGCAAAAUCCUCAGUUAUUCCCUACUAUGCUGCAUUCCUUUGUUUCACAUAUAUAUACAUAAAACCAGAGAACCCUAAAUCUUAGAGCUUUUGGGGCCAACCUUUCCUUUCUCUUGUGCUGAGAGAAUCCCUCACCUUCCACAAUAUUCCCACAUGCGUCCAGGGAUCACUUCCCUGGAAUGUCUCAAAUAGGGAAGGCAGAGAUCCCCAGGGACAAAUGUGUGGUCCACGAGGAGGUGUACUGACUUGUUACAGCAUGGGACAGUGCUCUGGGGACCAGGGAGUGCUUCAUCGGACGCAGGAAGCCACCAACUUGUUACAGGACUUGGGGAAAUGGUGGGAUUCAGCUAAAAUUCAAAUGAAGCUGUGUUUUAAUGCCCUCAAAGCAAAUAGCGCUGUGUAUAAAGGAAUUAACACCAGCCUGGGCCGAGGGGCAGACUGAGUCCUGUUUCCUUGGAAGCUAUAGGGUCAGGAGAAUGUAGCGUCCAAAAACCCCUUAUCUGAAGCUCUGCAGCUGGGUUGCAAAUCCGGGCUCCUUCUCUGCGUCCAAGACGGCUCGGCUCCCUGAGGGUCACAGAAUGCAGCUGGCUUCGCUGUUCCCUUUGUUCCUGUGGUUCCCAUCUUUCCGAGCUCUCUCACCCUGCUCUGGUCCUGCGUCUGUCCAUUCCCAUAAGUUCCACUAACAUUGGGCUGCCGAUCGAUGCUUGUUUGCAUGCUUGGGGUCAUGGCGUGGCAUUACAGGACAAUGAAGAUGACAGUGCGAGGUUGCUCUAUCAAGGUGACUGUCUUAAAAAUCGUUUCCUGACUCCAGGAAGUUGCCCAUUGGCCAGUCUUGCUUCCUGCCAUUCAUUUCGGCUUCUGUCCCCUUCUCGGGACUCUUCUCUCCUAGGCCUCCUCUCCCCCAGUUUGGGGCUUCUUACUGUUCCGCUCAACACAAUAUGCUUAAAUACGCCCCACCUUCUUAGGCAGGGUGGUUCCACUCUUUCUUUCCCUUCUCCUUCCAAAUCAUGAUGGUGGCUGAUGGCUCCUUUCCUUUCCCAGGUAAAGGGCCUCCUCAAGGUGGAGUGGUGGGACAGGCGCCUGGCUGCGUGGGCUCAAGAAAGCAUGGGAGAGAGGGAGGGGAGGGGCUCAGAGGGUCUCUAUGGUACGCUCAUAGAAGAGACUAACUCCUCUGGUGCCAGAUAUGCCAUCACGAUAGGCGCUGAAGAUGCAAACAC
rnacentral:lncRNA from 1 species